UGGGGAAUAUUGCACAAUGGGGGAAACCCUGAUUAGCGACGCCGCGUGAAGGAUGAAGUAUUUCGGUAUGUAAACUUCUAUCAGCAGGGAAGAAAAUGACGGUACCUGACUAAGAAGCCCCGGCUAACUACGUGCCAGCAGCCGCGGUAAUACGUAGGGGGGCAAGCGUUAUCCGGAUUUACUGGGUGUAAAGGGAGCGUAGACGGAUCUGCAAGUCUGGAGUGAAAGCCCGGGGCUCAACCCCGGGGACUGCUUUGGGAAACUGUGGAUCUGGAGUGCCGGAGAGGUAAGCGGAAUUCCUAGUGUAGCGGUGAAAUGCGUAGAUAUUAGGAGGAACACCAGUGGCGAAGGCGGCUUACUGGACGGUAACUGACGUUGAGGCUCGAAAGCGUGGGGAGCAAACAGGAUUAGAUACCC
rnacentral:rRNA from 1 species